rnacentral:rRNA from 1 species
GUGGGGAAUUUUGGACAAUGGGCGCAAGCCUGAUCCAGCAAUGCCGCGUGCAGGAAGAAGGCCUUCGGGUUGUAAACUGCUUUUGUACGGAACGAAACGGUCCGGGUUAAUACCCUGGGCUAAUGACGGUACCGUAAGAAUAAGCACCGGCUAACUACGUGCCAGCAGCCGCGGUAAUACGUAGGGUGCAAGCGUUAAUCGGAAUUACUGGGCGUAAAGCGUGCGUAGGUGGUUGUUCAAGUCUGUCGUGAAAGCCCUGGGCUCAACCUGGGAAUGGCGAUGGAAACUGGGCGACUAGAGUGCGGUAGAGGAUGGCGGAAUUCCCGGUGUAGCGGUGAAAUGCGUAGAUAUGCGGAGGAACACCGAUGGCGAAGGCAAUCCCCUGGGCCUGCACUGACGCUCAUGCACGAAAGCGUGGGGAGCAAACAGGAUUAGAUACCCCAGUAGUCC